rnacentral:rRNA from 1 species
GACGAACGCUGGCGGCGUGCCUAAUACAUGCAAGUAGAACGCUGAAGGAGGAGCUUGCUUCUCUGGAUGAGUUGCGAACGGGUGAGUAACGCGUAGGUAACCUGCCUGUUAGCGGGGGAUAACUCUUGGAAACGAUAGCUAAUACCGCAUAAUAGUAGAUGUUGCAUGACAUUUGCUUAAAAGGUGCAAUUUCAUCACUACCAGAUGGACCUUCGUUGUAUUAGCUAGUUGGUGAGGUAACGGCUCACCAAGGCAACGAUACAUAGCCGACCUGAGAGGGUGAUCGGCCACACUGGGACUGAGACACGGCCCAGACUCCUACGGGAGGCAGCAGUAGGGAAUCUUCGGCAAUGGACGGAAGUCUGAACGAGCAACGCCGCGUGAGUGAAGAAGGUUUUCGGAUCGUAAAGCUCUGUUGUAAGAGAAGAACGAGGGUGAGAGUGGAAAGUUCACACUGUGACGGUAGCUUACCAGAAAGGGACGGCUAACUACGUG